UGGGGCCAUACCGUAAGGAGGACCACAAGACAGCGGUUCUGUGCGUGCACAUGACCGGUCGUGUUGGUUCAUAGGUCCUCUGCUCCCGAUGAUUAUUUCUACCGCAUAUGGAGAGGGGAAAGCCGUCGAGUGGAUCUCGCGGAAGGGGCCUCCGCCGGCCGCCGGCCCCCGGCCUCCUCCCGGGGCUGCUAGGUCCUGCCGACCACCGGUGAGUAUAUGCAGCGGCCCGAAGAGGCACGUGCAGGGGAAGGCUUCCCCGGAUCUCCCAGGACAGCGAUAUCAGGUACAUGGGCAUGAGAUGGGAAUCACAAUUGUUGUGGAGGAAGGGAAGAAUGUCUUGUUAUUUGGCUGUUGCCAUCCAUGUUCUUUUGGGUUACAGAAUGCAAUAAGUGUUCCUCUCCGCAACGAAUAUAUUAGAUCGAGCAUCAUGUCAUGUACACCAUAAGCUUUUGCUGUCUUCAUAGUCGAUGUCUACCAGUUCGAUCAUGCUUCUAUUUAUCAACAGAUUGAAGUAACCCUCUCCUAGCUCAAAUGGGCCAAUUUCUCGUUUACAUGAUACAUAAAAAAUUCAGAUAUCCAUCUCCAUAUGAACUGGUCUCUCUUCAUUUUGUAAUCUUCUGGAUACAUGCUUACUUAUAAUAAAUGAUGUGAAGGUAGAUCAUAGAACAACAACAUAAUCUUUUGACUUUGGCAAGUCAGUGUAGACUAGAGAUAGAACACAACAGGAGCCACACACACCAACUAUAUGGAAAGUAGCAAUGAAAUAGUAAAACAAGCUCCUGACUUGUAGAUUAUGUCAAAGUGAUGGUCUAGAAUCAAGCUUCUUUUACUACUAGUUUUGGUCUACCUUGACAUCUGCUAUAGGAUUAGUUAUUAUAUUUAAGUAUGUUUUCAGAAGAUUAGAAGAUUAAGCAAGGUCAGUUGAUAGUAAAUGGAUAGCUGAAUGUUUUUGUUUAUCAUGAAAAACAAGAGAUUAGCUUAUUUGAGAUCGGAAUAGAGUUACUCAAUGAGACAAUAAAUAGAAACAUGAUUGAACCAACAGACAUCAAUGCUGAUGAAGGCAUGGAAUAAAUCUUAUCGUAUACAUGAUAUGAUGAUUGAUCCCAUAUGUUUUUGCCAAGUGAAGAAAACCACUUGUAUGGCAUUGGGUGAAUCCAAAGGCAAGAUUUGAAGAUCAUCCAUCUGAAAUAGCACGACAGACAUAACCACCAUCAGAAGCAGCAACAAUGCCACAAAUUCAAGAACGACCAAGUUUCUGCGGCACCUCCUGCAUUUUUCUCAGGAUGAACUUCCUUCUCCAUUUCAUUCUUUUGUAAGGAAGAGUUUUGUACUUAUGAUGUAUGCCUGGCAGGUUAAUUUUACGCCAGCUCAAGUUAAUGUAACCUGGCAUCCCUUACAUUUUGUCCUUAAGAACCAUUAGUUCUUAUGUACUGAUGUCAUGUUUGCUUCCUCUCCUGCAUUCAUCAUUACACUCCUUUGUUUGUUACAGCUUUAUUUCAGACUCACAAACCAAAAAACCAUGUUCAGCUUGUACUAUGUUCUGAAGUUUCAUC